GGACUCCCAGUUACAUUUGAAUUUCAGAUAUACAACGGAAAAUUUCUUAGUAUAAAGGCAUUUCAAACAUUGCAUGGGACACACUUAUGCUAAAGAAGUAAUUUGUCACGUAUCUGAAAUUCAUAUUUAA
rnacentral:miRNA from 1 species